rnacentral:lncRNA from 1 species
AUUUGCAUAACCAAGAUAAAGAAUUUCUUACACAUGUCUGAGUUGAUAGGUUGAGAGAAUAUCUGUCUAUCCAUGAAUGCCCCGCCAGGUAAUACCUUUUGAACACCCAAUGAGCUUUGCUAAUUUGAAGCAAUUUUUGCCUUUGGCUUCAUCUUUCGUUAGCAAAAUCACUUUAGCACUUUGUUCCCUCCUUCAAAGGAUCGGUGGCGGACCUUUUUGUUAUGAACACAGGCCAUGGGUCUUGGCAACAUUUGGCCAUGGCACAUAGCAUUCAACUAUUUCUCAUCAAAUCAAUCGUUGAUGACGCUGCUUUAACUCAUCAGCUUCCAACCUGGCAGGAAAGGGAUUUUUCAAUGAAGAAUUUCUCAAUGAAGGGUUUUCUCAAUGAAGGCUUUCUCAAUGAAGGUUUUCUCAAUGAAGGUUUUCUCUCAAAGAAGAGGUUUUUCAAUGAAGGGCUUCAUCAGAUUCCAGAACAGUGAUAUUCAAAGGAUCAAAUAAUUUCAUCUUUGGCCAUCUAAAAGAAUUAAAAAAACUUCAUGACAAUGAUCAAAUAAACAAAUAAAACCAAUUGUGCAUUUCAUGAAACUCCAAAUCAAAGCGAAAACAAGACAAAACUCAAUUUGCAAAAGGCGCUUUCAUUAAGCUAUUCACACAUGCAAGAAAAAGUCUUUGUAAACUUUAGCAAAUGACAACCCCUAGAUUUAUCGAAAUUAUCUUCGAGGGGGAAGAUAGUCAGCCAUCCAACUUGUGCAAAGCUCCUUUAGGAU